UAACAAUCUAUUCUCAACAUUUAAUUUUAUUGUGAUUCUUAUCUAUUAAAAUUAAAUUUUUUUAUUUAAAUUAAAAAAUACUUUGAAUAAAAUAUUCAUGCAUCAAAAAAUGAUCUAAAUGUCCAGCAUCGCAUAUCAUAUUUGGCUUUUAAAAUUAUUUUUUUGAAAUAAGAUAAACCAUUCCAUAAGUAAAAUAUUCUAUUCAACCAAAUCAUAAAUGAUAAGAUCUUUUAAAGAGUAAAAAUUAAAU
rnacentral:lncRNA from 1 species